GAGGAUGUGGCUUAGUUGCUAGAGUGCUUGCCUUGCAUACAUGAGGCCCUGAGUUCAAUACCCUGCAUUGUUU
rnacentral:tRNA from 1 species